AUUGAACGCUAGCGGCAGGCUUAACACAUGCAAGUCGAGCGGGGUGAUGGUGCUUGCACUAUCACUUAGCGGCAGACGGGUGAGUAAUGCUUAGGAAUCUGCCUAUUAGUGGGGGACAACAUCUCGAAAGGGAUGCUAAUACCGCAUACGUCCUACGGGAGAAAGCAGGGGAUCACUUGUGACCUUGCGCUAAUAGAUGAGCCUAAGUCGGAUUAGCUAGUUGGUGGGGUAAAGGCCUACCAAGGCGACGAUCUGUAGCGGGUCUGAGAGGAUGGUCCGCCACACUGGGACUGAGACACGGCCCAGACUCCUACGGGAGGCAGCAGUGGGGAAUAUUGGACAAUGGGGGGAACCCUGAUCCAGCCAUGCAGCGUGUGUGAAGAAGGCCUUAUGGUUGUAAAGCACUUUAAGCGAGGAGGAGGCUCUUUUGGUUAAUACCCAAGAUGAGUGGACGUUACUCGCAGAAUAAGCACCGGCUAACUCUGUGCCAGCCGCCGCAGUAACAC
rnacentral:rRNA from 1 species